AUGAGUUAACUAUUGAUAAACUAGAGUUGCUUCCUUGCGGUCAGGUGUAUAUAAGUGCUCCCCUUUCUCCAACUAAACAGAACCUACCAGCGAUUCCUUAUACAACAGGAGAGUAUCACCAUGACGAUGUUGACCAUAUUUCUGCUUCUCAGCGCUGCCUUUGCUCUGGGUGAUGCAAGGGAUCUGAAUGACACAGAGAAUCAAAUUAUGGAGAAYCUGAUACGCAACCUGSCAAUCGGUAAAAUGCCUUCCUCAAUCCCAUAUCAACARGAUUUCUGAAACCUGCAG